CUACCCUUGACAUGUCUGGAAUUGCGCAGAGAUGUGCAAGUGCCCGAAAGGGAGCCAGAACACAGGUGCUGCAUGGCUGUCGUCAGCUCGUGUUGUGAGAUGUUGGGUUAAGUCCCGCAACGAGCGCAACCCUUGCCAUUAGUUGCUACGAAAGGGCACUCUAAUGGGACUGCCGGUGACAAACCGGAGGAAGGUGGGGAUGACGUCAAGUCCUCAUGGCCCUUAUGGGUAGGGCUACACACGUCAUACAAUGGCUGGUACAGAGGGUUGCCAACCCGCGAGGGGGAGCUAAUCCCAUAAAACCAGUCGUAGUCCGGAUCGUAGUCUGCAACUCGACUGCGUGAAGUCGGAAUCGCUAGUAAUCGCGGAUCAGCAUGUCGCGGUGAAUACGUUCCCGGGUCUUGUACACACCGCCCGUCACACCAUGGGAGCGGGUUCUGCCAGAAGUAGUUAGCCUAACCGCAAGGAGGGCGAUUACCACGGCAGGGUUCGUGACUGGGGUG
rnacentral:rRNA from 1 species